AUGUACGGCGAUGCCACCCUGAACAAGCCCGAUCCCGUCUGAUCUUGGAAGCUAAGCAGGGUCGGGCCUGGUUAGUACUUGGAUGGGAGACCACCUAGGAAGAUCAGGUACUGCAGAUG
rnacentral:rRNA from 1 species